UACGUAGGGUGCGAGCGUUGUCCGGAAUUAUUGGGCGUAAAGGGCUCGUAGGCGGUUUGUCGCGUCGGGAGUGAAAUCCACUGGCUUAACUGGUGGCUUGCUUUCGAUACGGGCAGACUGGAGGUAUGCAGGGGAGAACGGAAUUCCUGGUGUAGCGGUGAAAUGCGCAGAUAUCAGGAGGAACACCGGUGGCGAAGGCGGGCCUCUGGGCCGAUACUGACACUGAGGAGCGAAAGCGUGGGGAGCGAACAGG
rnacentral:rRNA from 1 species